ACCUGGAUGGCUCAGUUGGAAGAGCAUGUGACUCUGAAUCUUGGGGUCAUGAGUUUAAGUCUCACACUGGGUG
rnacentral:tRNA from 1 species